GUUGCGCUGUGUGACCCCACUCGAACACUCGUCUCCAAGGCGCAUAAUGGUUGGAGUCUUGGAGUUCCCUUCAGCCACAGAGAUGACCUGGAUGUGUGUGUGAGUGAAAGAAAGAGGUGUGUGUGUGUGUGUGUGUGUGUGUGUAUAUAUAUAUGAGAGGGGGUGUGUGAGAGAAAGGGGAUGUGAGAGAGAGAGGGGAUGUGUGAGUGAGAGAGAAAGGGGAUGUGUGUGUGUGUGUGUGUGUGUGUGUGUGUGAGAGCAAGGAGGGGAGAGAGCGAGUCAGGAUGAGUGUAUGCAGGAGAGGGAGCUG
rnacentral:lncRNA from 1 species